AACGUAGGGGGCGAGCGUUGCCCGGAAUCACUGGGCGUAAAGCGCGUGUAGGCGGUCCGCUAAGUCGGAUGUGAAAUCUCCGAGCUCAACUCGGAAACUGCAUCCGAUACUGGUGGACUUGAGGACGGUAGAGGUCGGUGGAAUGCCGAGUGUACCGGUGAAAUGGACAGAUAUUCGGCGGAACACCAGUGGCGAAGGCGGCCGACUGGGCCGUUCCUGACGCUGAGACGCGAAAGCCAGGGGAGCGAACCGGAUUAGAAACCCCCGUAGUCC
rnacentral:rRNA from 1 species